AUGGUCAAUUUAGACCAAUCCAUGGAUCGUUUGAGCUUGAUGCAUGGUGGUGGCUUGCUUCCCCGAAUACACGCUCUUCAGAUCUCCUUUGUAGGUUCUCAUGGACCUUCUUCUACUGGCGGCGACGACAAAUUGGGUAGCAGCAGCGAAUGCUUAAUUCUUAGGUGAGAUUUUAGGAUUUUUUUUGUUGUGUUGGGCCUAAUUUAUGUGUAUUAUAG
rnacentral:lncRNA from 1 species